UGGGGAAUCUUCCGCAAUGGACGAAAGUCUGACGGAGCAACGCCGCGUGAGUGAUGACGGUCUUCGGAUUGUAAAGCUCUGUUAAUCGGGACGAAUGGUUUGUGUGCAAAUAGUGCAUAGACAUGACGGUACCUGCAGAAGAAGCACCGGCUAACUACGUGCCAGCAGCCGCGGUAAUACGUAGGGUGCGAGCGUUGUCCGGAAUUACUGGGCGUAAAGAGCUCGUAGGCGGUUUGUCACGUCGUCUGUGAAAUCCUAGGGCUUAACCCUGGACGUGCAGGCGAUACGGGCUGACUUGAGUACUACAGGGGAGACUGGAAUUUCUGGUGUAGCGGUGGAAUGCACAGAUAUCAGGAAGAACACCGAUGGCGAAGGCAGGUCUCUGGGUAGUAACUGACGCUGAGGAGCGAAAGCAUGGGUAGCGAACAGG
rnacentral:rRNA from 1 species